CUACGGGGGGCUGCAGUGGGGAAUUUUGCGCAAUGGGGGAAACCCUGACGCAGCAAUACCGCGUGAGUGAAGAAGGCCUUUGGGUCGUAAAGCUCUUUUCUUGGGGAAGAUAGUGACGGUACCCAAGGAAUAAGCACCGGCUAACUCCGUGCCAGCAUCCGCGGUAAUACGGAGGGUGCAAGCGUUGUUCGGAUUUACUGGGCGUAAAGGGCACGUAGGCGGCACAGCAAGUUAAGGGUGAAAUCCCGGGGCUCAACUCCGGAACUGCUCUUAAAACUGCUGAGCUAGAGAUAGUCAGAGGCGGGUGGAAUUCCAGGUGUAGAGGUGAAAUUCGUAGAUAUCUGGAGGAACACCGGUGGCGAAGGCGGCCCGCUGGGGCUAUUCUGACGCUAAGGUGCGAAAGCGUGGGGAGCAAACGGGAUUAGAUACCCCGGUAGUC
rnacentral:rRNA from 1 species